GGGGACACAGAAGCUCCUCCUCUGCUGCAUUCCCCAGGACAGAGAGCUGGGAGCACCUCCUGCACUGCCUCACCAUGGGCACCAGCCUGCCAGCCUGCGUGUCCCUGUGUCUCCUUUGGAUGGACCUGUGCCCUCAGUAGGGAGAUGAUGCCUGGGGCUGCUCCCCUGGACUCUGCCCCAGGCCCCAGGCUCCUCUGUGGUGUUGUCCUGUGUCUCCUGGGAGCAGGUGUGGUGCAUGCUGGGGUCCUCCAGUCCCCCAGACACCUGAUCAAAGCCAAGGGAGGAAAGGCCACUCUGCAGUGCUCUCCUGACUCUGGACAUGAUGCUGUGUACUGGUACCAGCAGGCCGAGGACCAGAGCCUCCAGUUCCUCAUUUCCUAUUUUCGAGAGUCAGAGAGAGAUAAAGGAAGCAUCCCUGGCCGCUUCUCAGCUCGGCAGUUCAGUGACUAUCACUCUGAGCUGAACAUGAGCGCCUUGGAGCUGAGGGACUCCGCGCUGUAUCUGUGUGCCAGCAGCUUGCACAGCCCUGCACAGGGACUGGCUUUCUCUACCCAAACCUUCCUGCCCCAGCUGAAGAUGGCACUGAGGGAAGGCGGGGGGGACUGAGGCCCAGCCUUAGUAAACCCCAGGAGCCCUCUCCAGCUGUGAUAACCCUUCUCUGUUCUGCCCAGCUCAGACAGUUUAUGAGCUCUGUAUUUCCUAACUCCCUGGACCG